rnacentral:rRNA from 1 species
CCCUUAGAUGUCCUGGGUCGCACGCGCGCUACACUGACAUGUUCAACAAGUUUCUCCUAGUUCGACAGGACUGGGAAAUCUUUGAACGCAUGUCGUGAUAGGGAUAGAUCAUUGCAAUUAUUGAUCUUGAACGAGGAAUUCCUAGUAAACGCGAGUCAUCAGCUCGCAUUGAUUACGUCCCUGCCCUUUGUACACACCGCCCGUCGCACCUACCGAUUGAAUGUUUCGGUGAAGAUUCCGGAUAGGACUGAUUUGAUUUAUUUCAUUUCUGACCUAAAAGCUAUCUAAACCUCAACAUUUAGAGGAAGGUGAAGUCGUAACA